rnacentral:rRNA from 1 species
AGAGUUUGAUCAUGGCUCAGGAUGAACGCUAGCUACAGGCUUAACACAUGCAAGUCGAGGGGCAGCAUGAUCUUAGCUUGCUAAGAUUGAUGGCGACCGGCGCACGGGUGAGUAACGCGUAUCCAACCUUCCCCUUAGUAGGGCAUAGCCCGUAGAAAUGCGGAUUAAUACCCUAUGUUUUCCAAUGAGGACAUCUGAGCUGGAACAAAGAUUAAUCGCUAAGGGAUGGGGAUGCGUCUGAUUAGAUAGUAGGCGGGGUAACGGCCCACCUAGUCGACGAUCAGUAGGGGUUCUGAGAGGAAGGUCCCCCACAUUGGAACUGAGCCAUGAUCAAACU